rnacentral:rRNA from 1 species
UACGAAGGGGGCUAGCGUUGUUCGGAAUUACUGGGCGUAAAGCGCACGUAGGCGGAUACUUAAGUCAGGGGUGAAAUCCCGGGGCUCAACCCCGGAACUGCCUUUGAUACUGAAGAUCUUGAGUCCGGGAGAGGUGAGUGGAACUGCGAGUGUAGAGGUGAAAUUCGUAGAUAUUCGCAAGAACACCAGUGGCGAAGGCGGCUCACUGGCCCGGUACUGACGCUGAGGCACGAAAGCGUGGGGAGCAAACAGG